CACACCGCCCGUCACACCAUGGGAGUGGGGUGCACCAGAAGUAGGUAGGCUAACCGCAAGGAGGCAGCCGGCCACGGUAGGAUCAAUGACUGGGGCG
rnacentral:rRNA from 1 species